GGAAGCCACGAGCAUAGAGGCCACGAGAUACCACACAAGAGUCUCUUCCUUUUCAACAUCAACAACAGAGCUUUGCGGGACAUUUUCCGGCGACAAGAAUGGACGAGUUUAUCUUUUUUCUGAGAGAGAGGAACAUUCCAGAAACCACCAUAAAAAGGCUGGAGGAGGACAAGAACCAUCCUGUGCCUGGAGUGUCCCAACAGUCCUGAAUCAGCAUAUUGAUGAAAUCCCUUGCACUAGAUAGGCAAUAGCAUACUGUGGUGAUAGAGGCCAUUGUGCCACAUUUAAUUCACAUUUUUAAGUACUAGGACAGUAAAGAGU